rnacentral:rRNA from 1 species
AUUGAACGCUGGCGGCAUGCCUUACACAUGCAAGUCGAACGGCAGCACGGGUGCUUGCACCCGGUGGCGAGUGGCGAACGGGUGAGUAAUACAUCGGAACAUGUCCUGUAGUGGGGGAUAGCCCGGCGAAAGCCGGAUUAAUACCGCAUACGAUCUACGGAUGAAAGCGGGGGCCCUUCGGGCCUCGCGCUAUAGGGUUGGCCGAUGGCGGAUUAGCUAGUUGGUGGGGUAAAGGCCUACCAAGGCGACGAUCAGUAGCUGGUCUGAGAGGACGACCAGCCACACUGGGACUGAGACACGGCCCAGACUCCUACGGGAGGCAGCAGUGGGGAAUUUUGGACAAUGGGCGAAAGCCUGAUCCAGCAAUGCCGCGUGUGUGAAGAAGGCCUUCGGGUUGUAAAGCACUUUUGUCCGGAAAGAAAUCCUUGGCCCUAAUACGGUCGGGGGAUGACGGUACCGGAAGAAUAAGCACCGGCUAACUACGUG